rnacentral:piRNA from 1 species
GAAGUAACUAGGAAACCCUGAAG